rnacentral:rRNA from 1 species
GACGAACGCUGGCGGCGCGCUUAACACAUGCAAGUCGAACGGAAAGGCCUGCUUUCCCUUGUGGAUUGCGGGUACUCGAGUGGCGAACGGGUGAGUAACACGUGAGUGAUCUGCCCCCAACUUGGGUAUAAGCCUGGGAAACUGGGUCUAAUUCCCGAUAGGACUGCAGGGUGGUGCCUGUGGUGGAAAACGAUUUUCUAGUGGUUGGGGAUGAGCUCGCGGCCUAUCAGCUUGUUGGUGGGGUAAUGGCCUACCAAGGCGGCGACGGGUAGCCGGCCUGAGAGGGUGGACGGCCACAUUGGGACUGAGAUACGGCCCAGACUCCUACGGGAGGCAGCAGUGGGGAAUAUUGCACAAUGGGCGGAAGCCUGAUGCAGCGACGCCGCGUGGGGGAUGACGGCCUUCGGGUUGUAAACUCCUUUCGACCGCGAGGAAGCCACCUGGUUGGAAGGGUGGUGACAGUAGUGGCAGAAGAAGCACCGGCUAACUACGUG